CCCGACACCUUUAGGUCUUUCGGGCAAACGAUAUUCCCUCCCAGCGCUUCCCGCUGCUCCCUUGAACAAACUCUUUCUCAAAGCAGGUGAAUGCCACCCGUCGACGUCCAGUCUAACGCCGUUUUGACGGACCGAGCUCAGGGGUUUCCCGUCGUUACUUCUGGGGGACUCCCGGUGGCACCUCUCCUCCUCAGGCCUUCAGCUUUUGAAGUUUGCUGGAGUGCU
rnacentral:lncRNA from 1 species